GACGAACGCUGGCGGCGUGCUUAACACAUGCAAGUCGAACGAUGAAGCCUAGCUUGCUAGGUGGAUUAGUGGCGAACGGGUGAGUAAUACGUGAGUGACCUACCUUUGACUCUGGGAUAAGCCUGGGAAACUGGGUCUAAUGCCGGAUACGACCAAUCUCCGCAUGGGGUGUUGGUGGAAAGCGUUAUGGAGUGGUUUUAGAUGGGCUCACGGCCUAUCAGCUUGUUGGUGAGGUAAUGGCUUACCAAGGCGACGACGGGUAGCCGGCCUGAGAGGGUGACCGGCCACACUGGGACUGAGACACGGCCCAGACUCCUACGGGAGGCAGAAGUGGGGAAUAUUGCACAAUGGGCGCAAGCCUGAUGCAGCGACGCCGCGUGAGGGAUGACGGCCUUCGGGUUGUAAACCUCUGUUAGCAUCGAAGAAGCGAAAGUGACGGUAGGUGCAGAGAAAGCGCCGGCUAACUACGUG
rnacentral:rRNA from 1 species